rnacentral:rRNA from 1 species
ACGAACGCUGGCGGCGUGCUUAACACAUGCAAGGCGAACGGGGAAGCGCCUUCCUUUUUGGGGGGUGUGGAUGAGUGGCGAACGGGUGAGUAAGACGUGAGUAACCUGCCCCCUUCUUCUGGAUAACCGCAUGAAAGUGUGGCUAAUACGGGAUAUUCUGGGUCUGUCGCAUGAUGGGUCUGGGAAAGAUAUUGUUUCGGUGGUGGAUGGGCUGGCGGCGGAUUAGCUUGUUGGUGGGGUGAUGGCCUACCAAGGCGGUGAUGGGUAGCCGGCCUGAUAGGGGGGUCGGCCACACUAGAGCUGCGACACGGCCGAGACGCCUACGGGAGGCAGCAGCAGGGAAGAUUCCGCAACGGUGGGAACCAGGACGGAGCAACGCCGCGUGGGGGAUGAUGGUCUUCGGCUCGUUAUGAACUUCUUUCAGGAGAGAAGCAGUGUGGCCGUAUAUAUGGAUGGGUUGACGGUAGCUGGAGAAGAAGCGCCGGCUAACUACGUG